rnacentral:rRNA from 1 species
GGUUGUGCCCUUGAGGCGUGCCUCCGGGAGCUAACGCGUUAAGUCGACCGCCUGGGGAGUACGGCCGCAAGGUAAAACUCAAAUGAAUUGACGGGGGCCCGCACAAGCGGUGGAGCAUGUGGUUUAAUUCGAUGCAACGCGAAGAACCUUACCUACUCUUGACAUCCAGAGAACUUUCCAGAGAUGGAUUGGUGCCUUCGGGAACUCUGAGACAGGUGCUGCAUGGCUGUCGUCAGCUCGUGUUGUGAAAUGUUGGGUUAAGUCCCGCAACGAGCGCAACCCUUAUCCUUUGUUGCCAGCGGUUAGGCCGGGAACUCAAAGGAGACUGCCAGUGAUAAACUGGAGGAAGGUGGGGAUGACGUCAAGUCAUCAUGGCCCUUACGAGUAGGGCUACACACGUGCUACAAUGGCGCAUACAAAGAGAAGCGACCUCGCGAGAGCAAGCGGACCUCAUAAAGUGCGUCGUAGUCCGGAUUGGAGUCUGCAACUCGACUCCAUGAAGUCGGAAUCGCUAGUAAUCGUAGAUCAGAAUGCUACGGUGAAUACGUCCCCGGGCCUCGUACACACCGCCCGUCACACCAUGGGAGUGGGUUGCAAACGAAGUAGGUAGCUUAACCUUCGGGAGGGCGCUUACCACUUUGUGAUUCAUGACUGGGGUGAAGUCGUAACAAGGUAACCAAGGGCGAAUUCUG